rnacentral:rRNA from 1 species
GAUGAACGCUGGCGGCGUGCCUAAUACAUGCAAGUCGAGCGAACAGACGCGGAGCUUGCUCCUCUGACGUUAGCGGCGGACGGGUGAGUAACACGUGGAUAACCUACCUAUAAGACUGGGAUAACUUCGGGAAACCGGAGCUAAUACCGGAUAAUAUAUUGAACCGCAUUGUUCAAUAGUGAAAGACGGUUUUGCUGUCACUUAUAGAUGGAUCCGCGCCGCAUUAGCUAGUUGGUAAGGUAACGGCUUACCAAGGCAACGAUGCGUAGCCGACCUGAGAGGGUGAUCGGCCACACUGGAACUGAGACACGGUCCAGACUCCUACGGGAGGCAGCAGUAGGGAAUCUUCCGCAAUGGGCGAAAGCCUGACGGAGCAACGCCGCGUGAGUGAUGAAGGUCUUCGGAUCGUAAAACUCUGUUAUUAGGGAAGAACAAAUGUGUAAGUAACUAUGCACGUCUUGACGGUACCUAAUCAGAAAGCCACGGCUAACUACGUG